AAUAUGAAGAGUUUGAUCCUGGCUCAGAUUGAACGCUGGCGGCAUGCCUAACACAUGCAAGUCGAACGGAAACGAAGGAAGCUUGCUUCCAGGCGUCGAGUGGCGGACGGGUGAGUAAUGCUUGGGAAUCUGCCCAAUAGUGGGGGAAAACUCGGGGAAACCCGAGCUAAUACCGCAUAAGCUCUUCGGAGGAAAGGGGGCCUCUACAUGUAAGCUCUCGCUAAUGGAUGAGCCCAAGUCAGAUUAGCUUGUUGGUAAGGUAAUAGCUUACCAAGGCUAC
rnacentral:rRNA from 1 species